CCACCCGAUGUGUACCUACCUCUGUUGCUUCGGCGGGACGCGGGCCUCCGCGGCCGUGCCCCCUAACCGGGGCUGGCCAGCGCCCUCCUGAAGACUACCACAAUCCUUUCAACACACGUACCUGUCUGAUCAUCAGUUAAAUAACUAAAACUUUCAACAACGUAUCUCUUGGAUCUGGCAUCUAUGAAGAACGCACCCAAGUGCCACCAGUCAUGUAAAAUGCCAAAUUCAUGGAAUCAUCAAAGCUUUGAACGCACAUUGCGCCCCUUGGCAUUCCGAGGGGCAUGCCUGCUCUAGCGACCUUUCCCCGCUCACGCUCUGGUUGGAAGUGCGCGCCGUCCUUCACCGGACGCGCCUCAUACACCUCUGCGGUGGAGUCGUGCCACCAGCGUAGAAGAAAACACCUCGCUUUGGAUGACGGGACGUUCGCUCGCCCGACCAUCCUUCAGAAUUUUCUCGAGGUAUGACCUCGGAUCACGUACGCAUACCCGCUGAGCUUGAGCAUAAAUACACCGGGGAGUAACCGAGGGGAGAAAAGGGUCUGGGUUAGAGCUGGACGCACCGUGUUUUGCUGGUUGGAGUGCUUCUGAACCCCGCCCAUGCCCGCACACGUUGGGAAGGGAACGAUGUAGUAUAUUCUACACAUCAAUUCCAUCGGCCUCAGAUUGGUAGACUACCCGCUGACUUAACAUA
rnacentral:rRNA from 1 species